rnacentral:rRNA from 1 species
GACGAACGCUGGCGGCGUGCUAAACACAUGCAAGUCGAACGCUGAAGCUCAGCUUGCUGGGUGGAUGAGUGGCGAACGGGUGAGUAACACGUGAGUAACCUGCCCUCUUCUUUGGGAUAACGCUCGGAAACGGGUGCUAAUACUGGAUAUUCACUGAUUCUCGCAUGGGGGUUGGUGGAAAGGUUUUUUCUGGUGGGGGAUGGGCUCGCGGCCUAUCAGCUUGUUGGUGGGGUGAUGGCUUACCAAGGCUUUGACGGGUAGCCGGCCUGAGAGGGUGACCGGUCACAUUGGGACUGAGAUACGGCCCAGACUCCUACGGGAGGCAGCAGUGGGGAAUAUUGCACGAUGAGCGAAAGCCUGAUGCAGCGACGCCGCGUGGGGGAUGGAGGCCCUCGGGUUGUAAACCUCUUUCGCUCAUGGUCAAGCCGCAGCUUUGGGUUGUGGUGAGGGUAGUGGGUAAAGAAGCGCCGGCUAACUACGUG